rnacentral:rRNA from 1 species
ACGGGUGAGUAAUGUCUGGGGAUCUGCCCGAUAGAGGGGGAUAACCACUGGAAACGGUGGCUAAUACCGCAUAACGUCGCAGGACCAAAGAGGGGGACCUUCGGGCCUCUCACUAUCGGAUGAACCCAGAUGGGAUUAGCUAGUAGGCGGGGUAACGGCCCACCUAGGCGACGAUCCCUAGCUGGUCUGAGAGGAUGACCAGCCACACUGGAACUGAGACACGGUCCAGACUCCUACGGGAGGCAGCAGUGGGGAAUAUUGCACAAUGGGCGCAAGCCUGAUGCAGCCAUGCCGCGUGUAUGAAGAAGGCCUUCGGGUUGUAAAGUACUUUCAGCGGGGAGGAAGGCGAUAAGGUUAAUAACCUUGUCGAUUGACGUUACCCGCAGAAGAAGCACCGGCUAACUCCGUGCCAGCAGCCGCGGUAAUACGGGGGGUGCAAGCGUUAAUCGGAAUUACUGGGCGUAAAGCGCACGCAGGCGGUCUGUUAAGUCAGAUGUGAAAUCCCCGGGCUUAACCUGGGAACUGCAUUUGAAACUGGCAGGCUUGAGUCUCGUAGAGGGGGGUAGAAUUCCAGGUGUA